GGGGUAAUAAGAUGGAGGAGAGCUCCCAGGGCAGCUGGGGGAGGUUGACCAGGUUUUGUCAUGGCAGCUACUGAAGGCUGCUAGGUGAGAGGAAGACUAAAGACACUGGUGAGGAGAGAGGGGCAGAAAGGGUUGGAAUUUCCUGAACAAAAUGCAGACAGGCAGAAAUCUUACAAAACUGUCCAUACCGUUAUUUCAUCAGUCAACAGGUGUUUCGCCUAUGGCACUUUCCAGUAAGUAAAAGGAUGGUGCUGUUGACUUCCUACUGUGCCCACUUACAUUUCCUCUUCUGUCUAGUGCGCUAUAAAGAACACUGAUGUAGCUUCACAAUCAAUAUCUAACAAGACAAGAUAGUGGCCGUUCGCAACAGAAGAUGAUCACUGCUGUCUGGAACUGGUCUGCUGUGGACGAAUUGAAGAGGCAAGUGAAUGCAGUAUUUUAUGCCAGCUUUGGAUGGGUUUUCUACCUGGACUUCUUUGUGUCUGACUUCCAUGUCUGCCCAUACAUCCAUUUGGAGAACAGCUUACAGGAGCAGAGCAGCCAGGAAGCAGCUCAGCUUCAGGACUUGCACACCAAACUUAAUAGGAUCAUUUACUACUGUGGAUUUCUUCCUAGAAUUGACUGGCUUGUCCUUUGAAAUCUGCUAAAAAAUGACUACAGGCAGGCUGCAGUUUCCUCUCCUAGGGAGGCGAGGCCUCCCCAAGGCACCCGCUGCACCAAAACAGCGGGAUUAGAGCUGCCUACAGGCAGAGCAGGCAGCACAGAACACUACCUGUGGCUGGGAUCCUGCUGGACAGAGUUUGGUGGCUGCGGCCAUACUGGAGAAGUGUCUCAGCACAUGGAAAUUGAUCUGAUUUGUUUCCAUACAUUUCCAUACAUUUUUGCAUACAGCUGUGAGUGUGGCUCAGACCUGUAACCAAAGGUCCUGGUGACUCGGAAAGAGGUGAGGACUGUGGGCAGGGUUAUUCAUGUGUUGCCUGUCCACCAGGGAUAGGGACAAUAUUAAUAUCACACUAACGACAAGGCUGUGAGUGCUCCGUGAGACAAGAGGUGAUUCAGCUAACCACAACAAAACAGUUUUAUGUAGAAAGUGUUAGCCUGUUGAAUUGGGGGAAAAUGUGUCACAGUAAUAUAAAGCCACAGCUCCUGUGGCAAUUUACCAAGGAAGUCAAAAACAGCAUCUUAGGUAAAUGGCUGGGGGCUAGCAUGGGGGAAGUCUAUUAGUAUGCUGUUGUCCCAGGGCAGGAGAAGAGCUUAAUGUGUGCUCAGUCUGCCUCUGGAUAUCGGGUGAAAGAGCCAGUCGUGUGCUA